UAGAGUUUGAUUCUGGCUCAGGAUGAACGCUGGCUACAGGCUUAACACAUGCAAGUCGCGGGGCAGCGCGGGGGUGGCAACACUUCUGGCGGCGACCGGCGCACGGGUGAGUAACGCGUAUCCAACCUCCCCCACACCACGGGACAGCCCGCUGAAAAGCGGAUUAAUACCGUAUGUUCUCCGAAGCGGACAUCCAAUUCGGAGCAAAAGAGCUUUUCUGGUAUGGGCUGGGGAUGCGUCUGAUUAGGCAGUUGGCGGGGUAACGGCCCACCAAGCCGACGAUCAGUAGGGGUUCUGAGGGGAAGGUCCCCCACAUUGGAACUGAGACACGGUCCAAACUCCUACGGGAGGCAGCAGUGAGGAAUAUUGGUCAAUGGGCGCAAGCCUGAACCAGCCAAGUAGCGUGAGGGAAGACGGCCCUAUGGGUUGUAAACCUCUUUUAUGCGGGGAUAAAGUGGGCCACGUGUGGCUUUUUGCAGGUACCGCAUGAAUAAGGACCGGCUAAUUCCGUGCCAGCAGCCGCGGUAAUACGGAAGGUCCGGGCGUUAUCCGGAUUUAUUGGGUUUAAAGGGAGCGUAGGCCGGCUGUCAAGCGUGCUGUGAAAUGCGGGUGCCCAACACCUGACGUGCAGCGCAAACUGGCGGUCUUGAGUGCGCGGGAGGCAGGCGGAAUUUGUGGUGUAGCGGUGAAAUGCUUAGAUAUCACGAAGAACUCCGAUUGCGAAGGCAGCCUGCCGUAGCGUUACUGACGCUGAGGCUCGAAGGUGCGGGUAUCGAACAGGAUUAGAUACCCUGGUAGUCCGCACAGUAAACGAUGGACACCCGCUGUCGGCUCGUUAGAGCCGGUGGCCAAGCGAAAGCGUUAAGUGUCCCACCUGGGGAGUACGCCGGCAACGGUGAAACUCAAAGGAAUUGACGGGGGCCCGCACAAGCGGAGGAACAUGUGGUUUAAUUCGAUGAUACGCGAGGAACCUUACCCGGGCUUGAAUUGCAGACGGAGGGGGCAGAGACGCCCCCGCUCUUCGGAGCGUCUGUGAAGGUGCUGCAUGGUUGUCGCCAGCUCGUGCCGUGAGGUGUCGGCUUAAGUGCCAUAACGAGCGCAACCCCUAUUCGCAGUUGCCAUCAGGUAAUGCUGGGCACUCUGCGGACACUGCCACCGCAAGGUGUGAGGAAGGUGGGGAUGACGUCAAAUCAGCACGGCCCUUACGUCCGGGGCUACACACGUGUUACAAUGGCGCGUACAGAGGGCUGGCGCACGGCAACGUGCGUCGAAUCCUUAAAGCGCGCCGUAGUUCGGAUUGGGGUCUGCAACCCGACCCCAUGAAGCUGGAUUCGCUAGUAAUCGCGCAUCAGCCAUGGCGCGGUGAAUACGUUCCCGGGCCUUGCACACACCGCCCGUCAAG
rnacentral:rRNA from 1 species